GUGACAGAAAGGCAUCGCAUUUGAAAUGUUCCAUAAAGCGCUACAUCAAUGAGGGACAUGAUGUUACUUGUGCUACAGAUAUGAAAAGAGCUAUAGAUUCACAGCAACAUGGACAGUACUUAGUGAAGGUUGUUAGCCCUACUGUGGUAAUUGACGGAGACAAGCCCAUCCGAAGUAUUCCAUCCAUCACAAAAUUUCACAAUUUUGUGUUUGAUGCCCCUGGCCUCACUGUUUGGAAAGCUUUCGAGAUUGGGACAGGAAAACAGUAUCCUUGGGAUUUUCUCAUCCAAGGUAAAAUUAGCACAACCCC